GCAGCAGGCACGCAAAUUACCCACUCCCGGCACGGGGAGGUAGUGACAAAAAAUAACGAUACGGGACUCUAUUGAGGCCCCGUAAUCGGAAUGAGUACACUUUAAAUCCUUUAACAAGGAUCCAUUGGAGGGCAAGUCUGGUGCCAGCAGCCGCGGUAAUUCCAGCUCCAAUAGCGUAUAUUAAAGUUGUUGCGGUUAAAAAGCUCGUAGUUGGUUCUGCGUGCCGCGCUGUCGGUUCGCCGCCUGUCGGUGUAACUGGCAUGUCGCGGCAUGUCCUGUCGGUGGUGAGCGGGGUCCACGGUACUGCAUAGGCUUAUUUAGUCGAUGUUAGUACCGUGUGUAUUUCCGUUCGCCGAUCUCUCCUACUCCGGUGCUCUUAAACGAGUGUCGAGGUAGGCCGACACGUUCACUUUGAACAAAUUAGAGUGCUUAAAGCAGGCUGAAAUAUCUGCCUGAAUAGUGGUGCAUGGAAUGAUAAAACAGGACCUCAGUUCUAUUUUGUUGGUUUUAGGAAUAUGAGGUAAUGAUCAAUAUGGACUGGCGGGGGCAUUCGUAUUGCGACGUUAGAGGUGAAAUUCUUGGAUCGUCGCAAGACGCACUAGAGCGAAAGCAUUUGCCAAGUAUGUCUUAAUUGAUCAAGAACGAAAGUUAGAGGUUCGAAGGCGAUCAGAUACCGCCCUAGUUCUAACCAUAAACGAUGCCAGCCAGCGAUCCGCCGAUGUUCCUUUAAUGACUCGGCGGGGAGCUUCCACCCGGGAAACCAAAGCUUUUGGGUUCCGGGGGAAGUAUGGUUGCAAAGCUGAAACUUAAAGGAAUUGACGGAAGGGCACCACCAGGAGUGGAGCCUGCGGCUUAAUUUGACUCAACACGGGAAACCUCACCAGGCCAGGACAUUGGAAGGAUUGACAGAUUGAUAGCUCUUUCUUGAUUCAGUGGGUAGUGGUGCAUGGCCGUUC
rnacentral:rRNA from 1 species